UGGGGUGUAACUCAGUGGCAGAGCACUUUCUUAGCAUGCAUGAGGCCCUGGGUUUAAUCCCCAGCACUGCAA
rnacentral:tRNA from 1 species